CUGACACAGGGAGGUAGUGACAAAAAAUACCAAUACAGGGCAUUACAUGUCUUGUAAUUGGAAUGAGAACAAUUUAAAUCCCUUAUCGAGGAUCCAUUGGAGGGCAAGUCUGGUGCCAGCAGCCGCGGUAAUUCCAGCUCCAAUAGCGUAUAUUAAAGUUGUUGCAGUUAAAAAGCUCGUAGUCGGAUUUUGGCAUCACGCCGAACUGUCAGCCGAUUGGUUUGUACGGUUUGGCGGGUGCUCUCCUUCCGGAAGCUCGUUCCCUUCUUAGUUGACGGGUUCGAUGGUUCCGGGUCUUUUACUUUGAAAAAAUUAGAGUGUUCAAAGCAGGCCUAUGCUCUGAAUAGGUUAGCAUGGAAUAAUAGAAUAGGACUUUGGUUCUAUUUUGUUGGUUUCUAGGACCGAAGUAAUGAUUAAUAGGGACAGUUGGGGGCAUUCAUAUUCCAAUGUCAGAGGUGAAAUUCUUGGAUUAUCGGAAGAUGAACUUCUGCGAAAGCAUCUGCCAAGGAUGUU
rnacentral:rRNA from 1 species